UACGAAUGGGGCAAGCGUUGUUCGGAAUCACUGGGCGUAAAGCGUACGUAGGCGGUUAUGCAAGUCAGAAGUGAAAUCCCAGGGCUCAACCUUGGAAUUGCUUUUGAAACUGCAUAGCUAGAGUCCCGGAGAGGUUGGCGGAAUUCCGAGUGUAGAGGUGAAAUUCGCAGAUAUUCGGAGGAACACCAGUGGCGUAGGCGGCCAACUGGACGGGAACUGACGCUGAGGUACGAAAGCGUGGGGAGCAAACAGG
rnacentral:rRNA from 1 species